GAGAAAAAAGCCGCUGAGGCCGAGAAAGCCAUUGCAGAGAAGCCGACCCCUUGCCGCAGUUCACGCCACAGCUGGGUUUGGGACAGGAGUAACCUGCCCUGGGCAGGUGAUAAAGGGGAAGUACUGCCAGGGAGUGAGGUGUCAAAAGAGGAGGUGCAGGCACAAAGUGAUUGCAGCAAGACUCGGCCUGGAGAGUAUUCAUCCAGUUCGGGGAAAAGCUAAGGAUGAAGGAAGGGGCUGAGCUGCCAACAAAGAUAAGCAAUUUCUUCGUCAGCUGGCGUACUGGAGGAAGGCACUAGGAUUGGUGAUGUUGAACAUACUUAUCAGUAGCUGGGAAAGGAAGUGAAGAGUGAGAUCGCAACCCCUGUAGAAAAUACAAAAUUAUUCACUUUUGACAAGACUAGAGAAGAUUGUGAAGAACUUCAGCGAGUGCUUGUAGAGCUGCAGUGUCCAGGAGAUAGUCCUUUGGCAGCUGCUUGAUGCCAGCUGUGUGCCCUGAAAAAGGAUCCCAAAAUAAAAAUUAAAAAAUACCAGAUGAGGCUUCAGCAGCUAGAGGGAGAGAUUGCAUCAUGUUUUGGCAGUGACUGGAACACUGGCAGCAUUCAAUGUGAGAAGAAUAAAAUGGCAGCAAAACUGAUCAGCAGCUUCUCUUCAUCUGGAGUUUUCCCAGUGCACAGGAUGGAUCUGCCCUGGAGAUUAAUCAGGUUGUGUAGUGAAGGAGGCUGUUGUCCCUAAGAUCCCUGUUUUAUUUGCUGCAGAAGUUGGAAGGUCCCACUGACAUGCAGGGAGCUUUACUUAUAAGAUGACAAGUCCUGCCUGGAGGGUCUUUCAGUUUAAGACUCCGAUCCUGCAAAUGCUUAGCCAUGUAAUCUCACCCAUUAGGGAGGGACAGAUAGUUCACUGGAGGAGCCUGCUGUUGGCUAUUAUGUUUUUAAUCCUAUUCCAACUCAUUUGUUUUGGGGUUUUUUCCUGAAAUGUCAUAAACAAUUUAGGAUCUUUAAAAAAAAUCACAACCAUGCUCUUUACGUCAUUAAAAUAUGCUGCAUAUAUCAAAACAUUCCUUGUUUAAUACAGCAGAAUAUAAAUUAAUCAAAGGGAUAACUCUGCCAGAACUAGAAAAAGCAAACAGGCGAAGACUGAUUGUUUUUGGAUUGUGCAGGAAGUGCUAUUCACGGGUAUGGUAAAUUAACCAUGCUAGUGAGUCACAUACACUGGUAUGGUAUGCAGGAAAGGGAAGUCAACUGAAUGAAAAUCAAGACCUGCAAUUUGGGAACCUCAUUUUAAAGUAUGAAAAUCUUCAGAAAUAGAUGUGUUAUAAUUUGAGACCUGGAAAAAUUAUUACAGAGACAAAUUCAUUAUUUGACCUACUGGAGUGCUUUCCUUUGAAGCUGUAUUAUCUUCUCUCUGGGGAGUGCCCCCUGAAUCUCCGCUCCUCCUUGCCUACUAUUACUACUCAUCUUGGACUCUCCCUCCAAUUGGAUGGUUGGAUCCCUGGAACUCUCUCCACAGGAAAGGGAAGAUAGCUACAGAGGUGAAUGAGCCCUCAUUCUGUGCAGGAGUGGGAACAGCCAUAUGGGUGUCUGGUGGUCACAACCACUCCAGUAUUAUUAUAAAACAUUUAUACCGGGCCUCAAAUUUACGUGGCACUUUCCAGGAUACCUCAGAAACAUUCCUUACUAUGAAGAUAUUUUAAUCUAAAACAACAGAGAGGUGAUUGAUAUUUUUCUUACUUAUCUGUAUCAAUGACUUUAAAAUGGAGAUUUUUUAUUCAAAAACAUACUUUAGAGGGGGGAGUAAUUCUACUUUAAAAAGUUGAGAGUUUGUCUGAAGAGGAACUGCAAUACCAAUAAACAGAAUUGUAAAAUGCUUUUAAAAUAAAGUAAAUUAUCCCAUCUCCAAGAUAGCAUCCAUUUAAUCUUGAUACCUUUUAUGUUUUCAUAGCUGCCUUUAUCACCAAAAUAUGGUUUCUUCAUAAUCUUCAUUGGAGAUACAGUGAAGCUAAAAUAUUCCUUUCCACAGAAGUUGUUGAUCCAAAUUAACAUUUCCAUUUAAUAAUGAACAUUUUUGAGGGACUCUGAUUACAUUUUUUUUAAAAUUCAUAAAUGAACAAAAUAUUGAAUAGCUAAAACUUUAUUUGGCUUUGUAAGGUGAUUCUUUCUUGAAUAUGCUAACUUUUAAGAAAAUGUGUAAAUUGUGCAUGAACCAUACAUUUAAAAGAUUAGAAAAAAUCCCCAGAAGUCUAUUGUCUUCUUGAUGAUGAUUGUUAUUUCUAUAAAACUAUAUUACAUGCAGCUUCCUCCUCCCUCUUUGACAGAGAAUACACAAAGAGAAAUAUUAUAUUGCAGUGCAACAGCAAUAGGAAAUAUGUUCUAGGAAUACUUUGUACAAGUCCUUUUACUCAAUAAAAAACAUGGCAAAGAAAUCUUAAAGUGUUUCAAGCUAAACUGCCACUGACAUAAUGCAGCAAAUUAAUACUUACUCAAAGAUUUUUCCUAGCUGAUCAACAUCUGAAUUUCCACGAAAAAGUGGCCUGAAAGAAUAAAGAAAUAAUAAGAUUUCUUUAACUAAAGUGAACUUGUACUUGUCACUGAAAGUUUCCAAAACAAACCAAAAACCUGUUCUUUUGCUGAGUGCUCAGUUACCCCUUUGUGUUUUUAUCCAGUUGUAACUGCACUUUUCAAGGUUUCUCCUUGGAUUGGUAACAAGACUUUAAGUUAAUGGAUCAGGCACACCUACAGACAUGUUACAUUUGAGAAGUAAUUUCAUCCUUUAAUAUAAGUAAAAUAACUUUAUUUCCUAUCCUUUUUUAAGCUAUCAGCAUAAGAGUAAAUCAAACACUGGUUGAUGAAACAAUGUACAUUAUGUAGGCCACAUUCAAAGCGCUGUUUCGAGAGAGUCAUGCAAUGCAUUUU